rnacentral:lncRNA from 1 species
AAUUUCCCUGAUUCUCCUGAGCCCAUCUAUGGGACUCAGUUCUUGCCAAGGAAGUUCAAAGUUGCAGUAACGGUGCCAACAGAUAACUCGGUGGAUAUUCUUACUAAUGAUAUUGGUGUUGUUGUUGUUUCUGAUGAAAAUGGGGAACCUCAGGGAUUCAACUUAUAUGUAAGUAGAUUUGUGCUCAAUCAACUGUUAUUUUUACAUUUUGUACUAUGGUUGUCUGUUUUUUUAAUGAUUUCUCUCAUGCAGGUUGGUGGUGGUAUGGGAAGAACGCAUCGGUUGGAAACCACAUUUCCCCGUCUUGGAGAACAGUUGGGCUAUGUGCCAAAAGAGGACAUUCUAUAUGCUGUGAAAGCUAUUGUUGUUACCCAAAGAGAAAAUGGGAGGAGAGAUGAUCGCAAGUAUAGUAGAAUGAAAUAUUUGAUCAGCUCCUGG